AGCAGCCGCGGUAAUUCCAGCUCCAAUAGCGUAUAUUAAAGUUGUUGCAGUUAAAAAGCUCGUAGUUGAAUUUCGGGGUUAGUAGGCUGGUCGUGCCACCGGUACGUACUGGUCUUACUGAUUCCUCCUUCCUGAUGAAUUGUAAUGCCAUUAAUUUGGUGUUGCAGGGAAUCUGGACUGUUACUUUGAAAAAAUUAGAGUGUUUAAAGCAGGCUAACGCUUGAAUACAUUAGCAUGGAAUAAUGAAAUAGGACGUUCGAUCCUAUUUUGUUGGUUUCUAGGAUUGACGUAAUGAUUAAUAGGGAUAGUUGGGGGCAUUAGUAUUCAAUUGUCAGAGGUGAAAUUCUUGGAUUUAUUGAAGACUAACUACUGCGAAAGCAUUUGCCAAGGAUGUUUUCAUUAAUCAAGAACGAAAGUUAGGAGAUCGAAGACGAUCAGAUACCGUCGUAGUCUUAACCAUAAACUAUGCCGACUAGGGAUCGGAUGAUGUUAAUUUUUUAAUGACUCA
rnacentral:rRNA from 1 species